GACGAACGCUGGCGGCGUGCUUAACACAUGCAAGUCGAGCGGUAAGGCCCUUUCGGGGGUACACGAGCGGCGAACGGGUGAGUAACACGUGGGUGACCUGCCCUCAGCUCUGGGAUAAGCCUGGGAAACCGGGUCUAAUACUGGAUAUGACUCCAUGACGCAUGUUGUGGGGUGGAAAGCCUUGUGCGGCUGAGGAUGGGCCCGCGGCCUAUC
rnacentral:rRNA from 1 species